rnacentral:rRNA from 1 species
UGGGGAAUAUUGCACAAUGGGCGAAAGCCUGAUGCAGCGACGCCGCGUGAGGGAUGAAGGCCUUCGGGUUGUAAACCUCUUUCAGCAGGGAAGAAGCGCAAGUGACGGUACCUGCAGAAGAAGCGCCGGCUAACUACGUGCCAGCAGCCGCGGUAAUACGUAGGGGGCAAGCGUUGUCAGGAAUGAUUGGGCGUAAAGAGCUCGUAGGCGGUUUGUCGCGUCUGGUGUGAAGACUCGAGGCUCAACCUCGAGCUUGCAUCGGGUACGGGCAGACUAGAGUGCGGUAGGGGAGACUGGAAUUCCUGGUGUAGCGGUGGAAUGCGCAGAUAUCAGGAGGAACACCGAUGGCGAAGGCAGGUCUCUGGGCCGCAACUGACGCUGAGGAGCGAAAGCAUGGGGAGCGAACA